GGCGUGGUGGCAGAGUGGUCUGAUGCGCAAGACUAGGAAUCUUGUUCCUUCGGGAGCGUCUGUUCAGAUCAGGCUCAUGUCG
rnacentral:tRNA from 1 species